AACGCUAGCUACAGGCUUAACACAUGCAAGUCGAGGGGCAGCAUGAGCUUAGCUUGCUAAGCUUGAUGGCGACCGGCGCACGGGUGAGUAACACGUAUCCAACCUCCCGCUUACUCAGGAAUAGCCUUUCGAAAGAAAGAUUAAUGCCUGAUGGUAUCUUAAGCACACAUGUAAUUAAGAUUAAAGAUUUAUCGGUAAGCGAUGGGGAUGCGUUCCAUUAGGUAGUAGGCGGGGUAACGGCCCACCUAGCCGACGAUGGAUAGGGGUUCUGAGAGGAAGGUCCCCCACAUUGGAACUGAGACACGGUCCAAACUCCUACGGGAGGCAGCAGUGAGGAAUAUUGGUCAAUGGGCGCGAGCCUGAACCAGCCAAGUAGCGUGAAGGAUGAAGGUCCUACGGAUUGUAAACUUCUUUUAUACGGGAAUAAAGUGGCCUACGUGUAGGCUUUUGCAUGUACCGUAUGAAUAAGCAUCGGCUAACUCCGUGCCAGCAGCCGCGGUAAUACGGAGGAUGCGAGCGUUAUCCGGAUUUAUUGGGUUUAAAGGGAGCGCAGACGGGGGAUUAAGUCAGUUGUGAAAGUUUGCGGCUCAACCGUAAAAUUGCAGUUGAUACUGGUUCCCUUGAGUGCAGUUGAGGCAGGCGGAAUUCGUGGUGUAGCGGUGAAAUGCAUAGAUAUCACGAAGAACUCCGAUUG
rnacentral:rRNA from 1 species